CAGAACCAGAGCUGGCAACAGCCUCCAGGAUCAGCUAAGCCUGGGCCCUUAUUUUCCAGACAAGGAAGUGAUCCUGCUUUUCAGGGUCAGGGACGGGACAGACGCCAGGGCUCCUGCCUCAAGGGCUUUGCAAAGAAGUAACGACUCAACAUCCUCUCUGAACAGAAAUGAACAAGGAAGUGACUUUGAGCUCCCACUGACUGGCACAGCUGGGUGUAUCUUGCACAGGGGACUGUAAGUGUAAAAGGCAAGAUGUCCAACUCAACUGCCGCUGCUUCCAUGACCCUAAGGGUAAAAGUGAAACAGACAGCUGCACUAGGCCCAGUGAAGUCUGGAGUAAUCCAUAGUGACUUGUUUAAUUAGAAGUUAUUAUUC